rnacentral:rRNA from 1 species
UACGUAGGGGGCUAGCGUUGUCCGGAAUCAUUGGGCGUAAAGAGCGUGUAGGCGGCCCGGUAAGUCCGCUGUGAAAGUCGGGGGCUCAACCCUCGAAUGCCGGUGGAUACUGUCGGGCUAGAGUGCGGAAGAGGCGAGUGGAAUUCCUGGUGUAGCGGUGGAAUGCGCAGAUAUCAGGAGGAACACCAGCGGCGAAGGCGGCGCUCUGGGCCGGAACUGACGCUGAGGAGCGAAAGCGUGGGUAGCAAACAGG